AUGGUGAAUGAACCAUGGAUAUCUCUAGAGAUAUAUAUGCCUACACCCUUGUCUUCAAGUGUGCUACAUGGGCUAGCUGGACCACCACAACCAGCCCCAGUCGCCUCUUAUCUGGUCAGUCAAAUUGUCAGGGCAGAAUUUUAUGUGAUUUACUUGCCGACGUCACUUAUCUCUUCCUCCGUCAAGGCUAACACGUACCUUUUGAGUAUCUCUCAAGUUUCUAGCCUGGAUUCUGGGAAAGCUGUUAGAUGGGUAUCAAAGGCUCUCUUGAUGGACUUAGGAACAAAUUUGCUAGAUAUGGUAGGAUUUGAAUAG
rnacentral:rRNA from 1 species